rnacentral:rRNA from 1 species
UACGUAGGGGGCAAGCGUUGUCCGGAUUUAUUGGGCGUAAAGAGCGUGUAGGCGGCCAGGUAGGUCUGCUGUGAAAACUCGAGGCUUAACCUCGAGAUGUCGGCGGAAACCAUCUGGCUAGAGUCCGGAAGAGGAGAAUGGAAUUCCUGGUGUAGCGGUGAAAUGCGCAGAUAUCAGGAAGAACACCCGUGGCUAAGGCGGUUCUCUAGUACGGUACUGACGCUGAGACGCGAAAGCGUGGGGGAGCGAACAGG